GUGAAAGUCAAGUAUGCCCCAACGACGUUGACAAAGGUUCCUUUCUGUCCAAAGUUUCAACGCCCUGCACUGCCCCCUGUGGAACCUAAUAUUCUUGGGCGACUGAAGAAAGACCUCCCAUAUGUGUGCUCGAUUGCAAUCCACGAGCGGAAACGGCCACACGCAGGACAGGCGAGUGGAGCAUCAUGCUCUUCUGUGGUGGCAUCUCGUCCACCUAACCUGCUGGAAGUACUGCGGCGAAUGCCAGAAGAAGAGCUCCAGAACGUCCUGACAGUGCUGAAGCGAGUACUAACCAAGGACGUCAUUGCAGAAAUUGAGCGCAGAACAAAAGCACAAUCUGCAGAGCCCGAGUGGAUGCUGUACAGGAAGGGCAUGGCCACGGCAUCAAUCUGCCACUCAUUCCGCACAUGGGUGGCGUCUGUAAAAAAACCGGCGAUACAUCCUAGACCACACAAUGUCGGCGGUCUGCUCGAUCUAGUGCUCAGGCUGAACACUUAUCAAUCUGCCUCCAUGGAGAGGGGUCAGGAGAAC